CUUCACUAGAAUAGCCUUCAAUUUCUCCUCGGGUACCUUAACCCAUCUACAAUUACAACAAAACCUAGGAAACAAGGUUGUCUGUGAAAAAAGUGCACUUUUUAAGAUUGGCAAAAAGCUUUUCUUCCAUAAAGACUUUCAUGGUCGAUUCAAGAUCAUCAAUAUGUUCAGCAAUGUUCUUUCAAUAAAUCAAAACAUCAUCGAAGUAAACAACAACGAAAUGACGAAUAAAUGCUCUAAGGACAUUGAUAUGACUAUGGUCGAACAACACCCGGAGCUCAAAGCCGAUGAGUAGCUCCUAGCGGAAAAUGUAAUAAUCGUUCCGGCGGGUCCUCUAACAUGAUCAAAGCUUAAGAAGUUCAACCAAGAAAUCAACAGACUACAUAGGGAGGUAGACAAGAAGCACGAAGACGUGGCUCAAACUUCUUUUUUGAUGAUCACGGCUCAAGGUGUUGGGUAAAAGGAUAAGUGUUGCUUAUGCACUCUUUUUCUCUUGUAAAGUUUUGUCCCAAUAUGUUUUCUUGACAAUAUUUUUAAUGAGGCCAAAGAGCA
rnacentral:lncRNA from 1 species